rnacentral:rRNA from 1 species
UGUUAUACUUGUUAUAAAAUUAAUAUUACCAGAUUAGUAAAAGUUAUGUGCUCUAAAUUCAAAGAAUUUGGCGGCUGUUUAAUCUUAUUAGGGGAACCUGUCUUUUAAACGAUAAUCCACGAAGUAUCUUGCCUAUUUUUGAUAGUUUGUAUACCGUCAUUUAGAUAACUUUUAUAAGACAAGUUAUUAAAAUAAUUUUUUGAAUUAAAAUGUUAGAUCAAGGUGCAGCAUAUGAGUAGGUUAAGAUGGGUUACAAUAAUAUGUGUUUAUAAUGGAGAGAAUUUUGAAUAAUGUUCUUGAAGGUGGACUUUAAAGUAAAAUUAAUUUAAUAAGAUAAUUUGAUUUUAGCUCUAAAUUGUGUACAAAUCGC